AAAAGACAUGGCAUUAUUCAGAGCUGGUUAAUUACAUGGUUAAAAGUUGAUGGCUGGUAUGUCUAUUUCAUUUCGACCAAAAUUAAAUGUCAGUUUGGGCAGCAAAAUAAUUUUAUGCCAAAACGCCAUUUGAAGCUGGGUUUAUGACAUGUUUCUCCAUCUGUCAUCUAUGGGUACUCCCAAAAUGUAUGCUUAAGUCCCCAGCCUCUUGACUCUGCUCAGCAAUAUUUCUGUUUGGCUUACUGUCCAACUUUGGCCUGCUCUUCCAGAUCUACCUCUUUUCCCAAGGAACAAGCUGCUUCUAUGCCAAGGGCAUGACUUCCUCCUUGCAGAUUUUCCUCACAUCUCUGACUUGGAGAAAAGGGGGUUUUUCAUUCUGCUAGCUUUUUAGUGCUCCUUUGAGAUCAUUAUUCUGGAGCCCUCUGCAAUAAUAUUGUUUCUCAUGGAUUGAAAUCCAUUGUUUCCAACAAGUUGAAAUGACCCUGAAGCUU